UACGGGGGGAGCAAGCGUUGUUCGGAUUUACUGGGCGUAAAGGGCGCGUAGGCGGCCACCGCAAGUCAGUUGUGAAAUCUCUGGGACUUAACCCAGAAAGGUCAACUGAUACUGCGGGGCUAGAGUGCAGAAGGGGCAACUGGAAUUCUCGGUGUAGCGGUGAAAUGCGUAGAUAUCGAGAGGAACACCUGCGGCGAAGGCGGGUUGCUGGGCUGACACUGACGCUGAGGCGCGAAAGCUAGGGGAGCGAACGGG
rnacentral:rRNA from 1 species